AUUCCAGCUCCAAUAGCGUAUACUAAAGUUGUUGCAGUUAAAAAGCUCGUAGUUGAAUUUCUGGUCUUGGACAGCGGUCUGCCUCAAAAGAGGUACGCACCAUCUAUCCGAGUCCAUCCUCGGGGAAAACAUGUGUGUGAUUCAGUUCAUGUGCAUGGGAUCCUCGUCAUUUACUUUGAGGAAAUUAGAGUGUUUCAAGCAGGCAUACGCCUUGAAUACAUUAGCAUGGAAUAAUAAGAUAGGACUUUGGCGUCUAUUUUGUUGGUUUGCACACCAAGGUAAUGAUUAAUAGGGAUAGUUGGGGGUAUUCGUAUUUAAUUGUCAGAGGUGAAAUUCUUGGAUUUAUGAAAGACGAACUUCUGCGAAAGCAUUUACCAAAGAUGUUUUCAUCG
rnacentral:rRNA from 1 species